CGCUUCAAGUGCCUCUGCACAUGCAGGGGAGAAUAGACAACCGGGUGAAAAUCCCGGACGGUACCGCCGCUGUAAGCGCGGAGAUCGGGCUCUUUGGCAUUAUGCCGGUCACUGGGAAACUGGGAAGGCUGAGCUCGGUUGCAGACGGGUUUCCCGUCCUAUGCGCAAGUCAGAAGACCUGCUUGGAGA
rnacentral:ncRNA from 1 species